GUGGCCAGCGGCAGGCUCCGGCCAGCCCGCACUGGGCAUGCGCAGGACUAGAGCGCCAGGUCGGCGGGUUGCCGUGAUGAGCCCGGAAGCGGCAGCGCGCGCCCCUCCGCGCGAGAACUAGUUUCGUUCCGCUUCCUUGGGACUGAGUCCUGGGAGAAAGCUCUGCAGGAGUCCCGAGUCUCGCCCGCGCUGGGACCAUGUCCAGCAACAGCUUCGUUUACAAUGAGCAGUCCGGAGGAGGGGAGGCGGCGGAGCUGGGGCAAGAGGCGACCGCGACCAUUUCCCCCGCGGGCGCCUUCGGCCUCUUCAGCAGCGAUUUAAAGAAAUGAUUGCAAAGGGGAAGAAUGCAUCUGAGCUAUUUCCUGCUGUUGUGAAGAAUGUGGCUAGUAAAAAUAUUGAGAUCAAGAAGUUGGUAUAUGUUUACCUGGUCCGCUAUGCUGAGGAACAGCAGGAUCUGGCACUCCUGUCCAUAAGCACUUUUCAGCGAGCCCUGAAGGACCCAAACCAAUUAAUUCGUGCAAGUGCUUUGAGAGUUCUCUCAAGUAUUAGAGUGCCAAUAAUUGUGCCUAUCAUGAUGCUCGCUAUAAAGGAAGCAUCUGCUGACUUAUCACCAUAUGUCAGGAAGAAUGCAGCUCAUGCAAUACAGAAACUGUACAGCCUUGAUCCAGAACAGAAGGAAAUGUUAAUUGAAGUAAUUGAAAAACUUUUGAGAGAUAAAAGCACACUGGUAGCUGGCAGUGUUGUGAUGGCUUUUGAAGAAGUAUGCCCUGAUAGAAUAGAUCUGAUUCACAAGAAUUACCGCAAGCUAUGUAACUUACUAGUUGAUGUGGAAGAGUGGGGGCAGGUGGUCAUAAUCCACAUGCUAACUCGUUAUGCUCGUACACAGUUUGUCAGCCCUUGGAAAGAGGAUGGUGGCCUAGAGGACAAUGAAAAAAGUUUCUAUGAAUCUGAUGAUGAACAGAAGGAAAAGACUGACAGAAGGAAGAAGCCGUACGCCAUGGAUCCAGACCACAGACUCUUAAUUAGAAACACAAAACCUUUGCUUCAGAGCAGGAAUGCAGCGGUGGUUAUGGCAGUUGCUCAGCUGUAUUGGCACAUAUCCCCAAAAUCAGAAACUGGCAUUAUUUCUAAAUCACUUGUGCGCUUACUUCGUAGCAACAGGGAGGUGCAGUAUAUUGUCCUACAAAAUAUAGCAACUAUGUCAAUUCAAAGAAAGGGCAUAUUUGAACCUUAUCUGAAGAGUUUCUAUGUUAGGUCAACUGAUCCAACUAUGAUCAAGACAUUGAAGCUUGAAAUUUUGACAAACUUAGCAAAUGAAGCCAACAUAUCAACUCUUCUUCGAGAAUUUCAGACCUAUGUGAAAAGUCAGGAUAAACAGUUUGCAGCAGCCACUAUUCAGACAAUAGGCAGAUGUGCGGCCAACAUCUCAGAAGUCGCCGACACCUGCCUCAACGGCCUGGUCUGUCUGCUCUCCAACAGGGAUGAAAUAGUUGUUGCAGAAAGUGUGGUUGUUAUAAAGAAAUUACUGCAAAUGCAACCUGCACAACAUGGUGAAAUUAUUAAACAUAUGGGCAAACUCUUGGACAGUAUCACUGUUCCUGUGGCUAGAGCAAGUAUUCUUUGGCUAAUUGGAGAAAACUGUGAACGAGUUCCUAAAAUUGCCCCUGAUGUUUUGAGGAAGAUGGCUAAAAGCUUCACUAGUGAAGAUGAUCUGGUAAAACUGCAGAUAUUAAAUCUGGGAGCAAAACUGUAUUUAACCAACUCCAAACAGACAAAAUUGCUUACCCAGUAUGUAUUAAAUCUCGGCAAGUAUGAUCAGAACUACGACAUCAGAGACCGUACAAGAUUUAUUAGGCAGCUUAUUGUUCCGAAUGAGAAGAGUGGAGCUUUAAGUAAAUAUGCCAAAAAAAUAUUCCUAGCACAGAAACCUGCACCACUGCUUGAGUCUCCUUUUAAAGAUAGGGAGCAUUUCCAGCUUGGCACCUUAUCUCAUACUCUCAACAUUAAAGCUUCUGGGUACCUGGAAUUAUCUAAUUGGCCAGAGGUGGCGCCGGACCCAUCGGUUAGAAAUGUGGAAGUAAUAGAGUUGGCAAAAGAAUGGACCCCAGCAGGCAAAGCAAAGAAAGAAAACCCUUCUAAAAAAUUUUACUCUGAAUCUGAGGAAGAAGAGGACUCUUCUGAUAGCGGCAGUGACAGUGAGAGUGAAUCUGGAAGUGAGAGUGGAGAUGAUGGGGCCAGUAGUGAGGACACCAGCGAGGACAGCGAGGACUCAUCCAAUGAGCAGGAGAGUGAGAAUGGGAGUGUGGCAGAAGACAAAGCAGCUACCAAAAGGAAUCCAGAAACCAAAGGGGAAAGUGAUUCUGAAGAUGGGGAGAAGAAAAAUAAGAAAUCUCAAACUUCAGAUUCUUCUAAUGUUGAAUCUAGUUCAAUAGAAGAAAGUUCUUCAGAGUCUGAAUCACAAUCUGAAAAUGAAUCUGAAUCCAGAAAAGUCACUAAGGAGAAAGAAAAAAAACUAAAGCAAGAUAGAAUUUCUCUUACCAAAGAUGUCUCACUUCUAGACCUAGAUGAUUUUAACCCUAUAUCCACUCCAGUUGCACUUCCCACACCAGUACUUUCUCCGAGCUUGAUAGCUGAUCUUGAAGGUUUAAACUUGUCAACUUCCUCAUCUGUCAUCAGCGUCAGUACUCCUGUCUUUGUACCAGUGAAAACACAUGUGCUGCUUCAUCGGAUGAGUGGAAAAGGACUGGCUGCCCAUUAUUUCUUUCCAAGACAGCCUUGCAUUUUUGGUGAUAAGAUGGUCUCUGUGCAGAUAACAUUGGAAAAUACUUCUGACCAGAAGAUAGAAAAUAUCCACAUAGGGGGAAAAAAACUUCCUAUAGGCAUGCAAAUGCAUAUUUUUAAUCCAAUAGACUCUCUUGAGCCUAAGGGAUCCAUUACUGUUUCAAUGGGUAUUGACUUCUGUGAUUCUACACAGACUGCCAGUUUCCAGUUGUGCACCAAGGACAAUUGCUUCAAUGUUAAUAUUCAGCCACCUAUUGGAGAACUGCUUUUACCUGUGGCCAUGUCAGAGAAAGACUUUAAGAAAGAGCAAGCCUGCCUCUCUGCUUUACACCUGCUCAGCAAACCAAGGUAUGCUGACAGGUAUGAAUGAAACUUCUGCUACAAUCAUCACUGCACCACAGAAUUUCACUCCCUCAGUGAUCCUCCAGAAGGUUGUGAAUGUAGCCAAUAUGGGUGCAGUUCCUUCUGGCCAAGAUAAGAUACACAGGUUUGCAGCUAAAACUGUGCACAGUGGGUCAUUGAUGCUAGUCACAGUGGAACUGAAGGAAGAAGGCUCCACAGCCCAGCUUAUCAUAAACACUGAGAAGACUGUGAUUGGUUCUGUUCUGCUGCGGGAGCUGAAGCCUGUCCUGUCCCAGGGGUAACCUGCUUACAUCUGGACUUCAGAAUCUGGCACACAACAAAAGUGCCUGGCAUCCACUACUGCUGCCUUUCAUUUAUAAUAAUAGCCCUUCCAUCUGGCAUUGGGGGAAGAAUACACUCUUGACAUUCUUGUCUCCUGCUUUAGAAUGCUAGUGUGUAUCCAUCAUGUAUGCAGUGUUUUCCCCCUUUUUGCUUUGCUAACCAAAGAACAUAUAUUUUACUGUCAGUUAUUUUAACUCUUGAAUCUAUGUGGCAUUUUCUCUGUCCUCCUAUUUCUUUUGGCCUCCUCAUCUUCCUCCUCUUUUUCAACAAUGAUAGCCACAAAUCAGAUAUUAAAAGUGCAUUGGAAAUCAUCUUCCCUUCAGCAGUAAGCCAGAAUUAGCAAAGAAAUAGUCUAAAUGGUCUCUCAGCUGGGUAUAUGAAAAUGAGAUAAUAUACUUCUUAGAAUUAAAUGCAAAAACAUGAGCUCUGCAAAAUUUUGUUCUUUGAAUUUCCUGGUAUUUUUGAUGGAUUAUUGACAACUGUCAUUGUGAAAUUAUCCCGACAUAAUAAGAUAAAUAAACUAGUAUAUGAAUAGCA